GAGUUUGAUCUUGGCUCAGAUUGAACGCUGGCGGCAGGCCUAACACAUGCAAGUCGAGCGGAUGACGGGAGCUUGCUCCUUGAUUCAGCGGCGGACGGGUGAGUAAUGCCUAGGAAUCUGCCUGGUAGUGGGGGACAACGUUUCGAAAGGAACGCUAAUACCGCAUACGUCCUACGGGAGAAAGCAGGGGACCUUCGGGCCUUGCGCUAUCAGAUGAGCCUAGGUCGGAUUAGCUAGUUGGUGGGGUAAUGGCUCACCAAGGCGACGAUCCGUAACUGGUCUGAGAGGAUGAUCAGUCACACUGGAACUGAGACACGGUCCAGACUCCUACGGGAGGCAGCAGUGGGGAAUAUUGGACAAUGGGCGAAAGCCUGAUCCAGCCAUGCCGCGUGUGUGAAGAAGGUCUUCGGAUUGUAAAGCACUUUAAGUUGGGAGGAAGGGCAGUAAGUUAAUACCUUGCUGUUUGACGUUACCGACAGAAUAAGCACCGGCUAACUCUGUG
rnacentral:rRNA from 1 species